UACGAAGGUUGCAAGCGUUACUCGGAAUUACUAGGCGUAAAGGGCAGGUAGGUGGUUUGGUAAGUCUGUUGUGAAAGCUCCUGGCUUAACUGGGAGAGGUCAAUAGAUACUGCUGAACUUGAGUAUAGGAGAGGUUACUGGAAUUCCCGGUGUAGCGGUGAAAUGCGCAGAGAUCGGGAGGAACACCAAUGGCGAAAGCAGGUAACUGGACUAUUACUGACACUAAGCUGCGAAAGCUAGGGGAGCAAACAGG
rnacentral:rRNA from 1 species